UAUCAACAGAGUAAUGCGGCCCGGUUAUACCGCUUGGAACAGGAUCUCGUUAACCUUACUCAGGGUGAUGAUAGUAUUCAAUCAUUUUACUCCAAAAUUGUCACAAUUUGGACUGAGAUGACUAUGAUGGAUCCAACAUUUCCUCAUGACUUUAAGAUAUUCCAAAAUAUGUGCGAGAGUGCACAAGUUCGACAGUUUCUUAUGAAGCUGCAUCCGGAAUUUGAGCAUUGUCGGGCUGCUCUCUUAAACCGUAGCCCUACUCCUUCAUUGAAUUCGGUUAUUAAUGAUUUAUUGGCUGAGGAACAACGACUGAAAGUUCUCUCUCUUCCUUCCUCAACUCCGGGAUCAUCUGAUAUGGUGCUUGCUGUGUCCACCACUACACCAACACGUGGUUCCACUCCUUUGACUUUCACGGCUGUAACAAGGUGGGUCAUGUUGUCGCUCAAUGUAAAGAAUGGUGCACUUAUUAUCGAUGGACUGGUCAUGGUAUUCAGGACUGCCAUACAUGUGCCUAUGCAUCUUCUUUCGGCCAUGGACGUGGUGGUCGUGGUCGUGGCCGUGGCCGUGGUCGUGCUCUUUCUGCUACUGCUGCCACUAUUUCUUCCGAGCCGUCUGUUAGUGAUUCUGCAUCUACUGUUUCUGCUUAAGGUCUUUCAUCUCCGUUGACUCCAGCGAUGCUCCAGUAAAUCGUUCAGGCCCUUUCUGCGGCUGGUAUGUCAGGAUUUGGCAACAGGGAAGGUACUUGGGAUGGGUAGGCGGCAUGGCCGUCUGUACGUGCUGGACUUUGAUCCAUCUGUCACUCCGGCUCGUUGUUUCUUUUCUCCAUCUUCAUCAGAUAUUUGUUCGGCAAAUAAAUUGUGAAAACUGUGGCACUUUUGCCUAGGUCAUUCACAUUCCGAUCGGUUACUUCAGUUAAUUUCUUCUGGCAUGUUAGGGAAUAUUUCUCUUAAUAAAAAUGAUUUGGAUUAAUCUUGUU